rnacentral:rRNA from 1 species
GUAGGUGGGCAAGCGUUGUCCGGAAUUAUUGGGGCGUAAAAGCGCGCGCAGGCGGUCCUUUAAGUCUGAUGUGAAAGCCCACGGCUCAACCGUGGAGGGUCAUUGGAAACUGGGGGACUUGAGUACAGAAGAGGAAAGCGGAAUUCCAAGUGUAGCGGUGAAAUGCGUAGAGAUUUGGAGGAACACCAGUGGCGAAGGCGGCUUUCUGGUCUGUAACUGACGCUGAGGCGCGAAAGCGUGGGGAGCAAACAGGAUUAGAUACCCUGGUAGUCCACGCCGUAAACGAUGAGUGCUAAGUGUUAGGGGGUUUCCGCCCCUUAGUGCUGCAGCUAACGCGUUAAGCACUCCGCCUGGGGAGUACGGCCGCAAGGCUG